rnacentral:misc_RNA from 1 species
AAAUUUAUAAUUUUAAACAGCGGAGAGAACUUAAGAAGUCUUAGUUCACACAAACAUGGCACGUAACUAUCCCAGUGAAAGUUACAUACGGAUUUUACACAUGCUAUAUUUCUACAGUCUUAAAAAACUGAACCAUACCACACUGGUUUAUAUAGUUAAAUCAUGAACAAGUUCUACAAAAGAUCCACAAGCUAUGAAGAGCUAAGAGAAACAUAAUCUUAUUGGCUGGAAGACCCCAAAUCAUCCCUUAAAUCCUUCGCUUGAAUGUCAAGUAAAGCCAUAAAAUUUUACGUUUCAAGAGCACAGAUUGGACAACUCAUGAAAUAGCCCUACAAAUGGCCGGCAAAACGGUUGCUUCUUGUAGAAACACGCCUGAAGACAUGCAAC